GACGAACGCUGGCGGCGUGCUUAACACAUGCAAGUCGAACGGAAAGGCCCUGCUUUUGUGGGGUGCUCGAGUGGCGAACGGGUGAGUAACACGUGAGUAACCUGCCCUUGACUUUGGGAUAACUUCAGGAAACUGGGGCUAAUACCGGAUAGGAGCUCCUGCUGCAUGGUGGGGGCUGGAAAGUUUCGGCGGUUGGGGAUGGACUCGCGGCUUAUCAGCUUGUUGGUGGGGUAGUGGCUUACCAAGGCUUGGACGGGUAGCCGGGCUGAGAGGGUGACCGGACAAGUUGGGACUGGGAUGCGGCCCAGACUCGUACGGGAGGCGAGGGUGGAGAGGGGUGCACAAGGGGCGGGGGGCUGGUGCAGCAACGCCGCGUGCGGGAUGACGGCCAUGGGGUAGGAAAGCGCUGUCGCCUGUGACGAAGCGUGAGUGACGGUAAUGGGUGAAGAAGCACCGGCUAACUACGUG
rnacentral:rRNA from 1 species